rnacentral:tRNA from 1 species
CCUGGUGGCUCAGUGGUAAAGAGCCUGCCUGCCAAUGCAGGAGACCAGGGUUCGAUCCCUGGUCCAGGA